UGAUAGAGUUUGUAAGAUAAGUGCGUGUGUUUAAGAAAAUAUUAAUGAAGUUUUAUUUUAAGUGUUAGUUGAUAUUCCUACUAUUUAGUCCUCUUCCUUUAACAAGAACCAUUUGCCCAAAUAUCUUAUGAAAAACUCUCCCAAGCAAUAGAUGGCUUCUCUCCCUCUAAUUUGAUUGGUAUAUGUAGUUUUGGUUCUGUGUAUAAAGGGAGCAUUGACGAUGAAGAUGUUGCAAUCAAAGUGCUUAACAUUGAGCGCUGAGGUGCUUCUAGAAAGUUUCAUAGUUGAGUGUGUUGAAAGAAAUUCGCCAUCGAAAUCUGGUCAAGAUCGUAACUUGUUGCUCGAGCAUUGAUUUUCAAGGUAACGAUUUUAAGGCUCUAGUGUAUGAAUACAUGCCUAAUGGGAGUUUAGACAAAUGGGUGCAUCCAGACCAAGAAACUUAUGACGAUCAAAAUGAUCUAAGCCUUGUUUGUAGAAUCAACAUUGCCAUUGAUGUGGCUUGUGCACUUGAUUAUCUCCAUCACGAUUGCCAUCAGCCAAUCAUUCAUUGUGAUCUGAAACCGAGUAAUAUUCUUCUUGAUAGCAACAUGACUGCCCAUAUUGGAGACUUUGGGUUAUCGAGAGUUCUUCCACAACUUAGAAAUCUAACUGAAAGCAGCUCAUCAAUUGGAAUUAAAGGAACUAUUGGCUGUGCUGCACCAGAUUAUGGUCUAGGAGGAGAAGUUUCAAUACGUGGAGAUAUCUACAGUUAUGGGAUUUUAUUAUUGGAAAUGAUAACAGGAAAGAGACCGACUCAUGAUAUGUUUGAGAUUUCCAAGGUUAUGGUAGGAGUUGAAUGCUCCAUCGAGUCACCAAGAGAUUGAAUGAACAUGACUAAGGUUGUUCAUGAGCUGCUCAAGGUUAGGGCUGUACUUGAGAAAACUACAACCAAAAACCAUAACAACAGACAUCGGUACCUGUAUUUAUUUAUUUAUUUAUUUUAUUUACUUUUUUUUUUGUAUUUAAUUUAUUUUUCUAAUAUCUGUUGGUGCUAGACAAUGUUAUUUCAUAAUGAGCUUACCGCGUUAUCUUGGAGGACAAACAGAGUAAACAAGAGCAAGGUUAUAAUUGGAGUAAUCCAUCAAAUGGAACCUGAAUAGAAACUCAAAAUCAACGCAAAGUCGAGAGGCGAGGCGUACUGAUUCAACUCUCUCUACGGUAUCAUUUUCAAAAUAGGUCAGUACCAACGGAAACUAGACUGAAAUAUCUUUCCAACGAUUUAGGACAUGUAUUGGAGUUGAAAUGAGCUGCAAACCCGUCAAACCGGACGAAGGACCAAACCAAACUAGAUAUGUGAACAAAUAGCUUUUCUUGAUGUGUGAAGAGGUGAUUAGGAAAAGGAGAGUUCGAAAGUUUUGUGUAGGUUGGUCAGCUUUUUAAAAGUAUUUUUGAAAAACUGUAUGGCAUUCCCAGUUCCCACCAUUUCAUUCUUUUGGUGACUGUUACAUGUUAAUGGUCAUUUGAGAAUUGUUAUCCGUCAUCUUUUCGUCUUUUCUCUUCAUAAAUAGGGGAAGAAAUAAUAGGUUCUGCAGCCUCAUUUGUGCCUAGUGACUCCUCUUUAUCUUCAAGGGGGUUUCCUAUAAAAUUGAAUCAUCAUUUUAAAAAUUA